GUGAGGAAUAUUGGUCAAUGGGCGAGAGCCUGAACCAGCCAAGUCGCGUGAAGGAAGAAGGAUCUAUGGUUCGUAAACUUCUUUUGCAGGGGAAUAAAGUGCAGGACGUGUCCUGUUUUGUAUGUACCCUGAGAAUAAGGAUCGGCUAACUCCGUGCCAGCAGCCGCGGUAAUACGGAGGAUCCGAGCGUUAUCCGGAUUUAUUGGGUUUAAAGGGUGCGUAGGUGGUUUGAUAAGUCAGCGGUGAAAGUUUGCAGCUUAACUGUAAAAAUGCCGUUGAAACUGUCGGACUUGAGUGUAAAUGAGGUAGGCUGAAUGCGUGGUGUAGCGGUGAAAUGCAUAGAUAUCACGCAGAACUCCGAUUGCGAAGGCAGCUUACUAAGCUACAACUGACACUGAAGCACGAAAGCGUGGGGAUCAAACAGGAUUAGAUACCCGGGUAGUCC
rnacentral:rRNA from 1 species